GACGAACGCUGGCGGCGUGCCUAAUACAUGCAAGUAGAACGCUGAAGGAGGAGCUUGCUUCUCCGGAUGAGUUGCGAACGGGUGAGUAACGCGUAGGUAACCUGCCUGGUAGCGGGGGAUAACUAUUGGAAACGAUAGCUAAUACCGCAUAAGAGUAGAUGUUGCAUGACAUUUGCUUAAAAGGUGCAAUUGCAUCACUACCAGAUGGACCUGCGUUGUAUUAGCUAGUUGGUGGGGUAACGGCUCACCAAGGCGACGAUACAUAGCCGACCUGAGAGGGUGAUCGGCCACACUGGGACUGAGACACGGCCCAGACUCCUACGGGAGGCAGCAGUAGGGAAUCUUCGGCAAUGGACGGAAGUCUGACCGAGCAACGCCGCGUGAGUGAAGAAGGUUUUCGGAUCGUAAAGCUCUGUUGUAAGAGAAGAACGAGUGUGAGAGUGGAAAGUCACACUG
rnacentral:rRNA from 1 species